GAUGAACGCUGGCGGCGUGCCUAGUACAUGCAAGUCGAGCGAACGGACGAGAAGCUUGCUUCUCUGAUGUUAGCGGCGGACGGGUGAGUAACACGUGGAUAACCUACCUAUAAGACUGGGAUAACUUCGGGAAACCGGAGCUAAUACCGGAUGAUAUUUUGAACCGCAUGGUUCAAAAGUGAAAGACGGUCUUGCUGUCACUUAUAGAUGGAUCCGCGCUGCAUUAGCUAGUUGGUAAGGUAACGGCUUACCAAGGCAACGAUGCAUAGCCGACCUGAGAGGGUGAUCGGCCACACUGGAACUGAGACACGGUCCAGACUCCUACGGGAGGCAGCGGUAGGGAAUCUUCCGCAAUGGGCGAAAGCCUGACGGAGCAACGCCGCGUGAGUGAUGAAGGUCUUCGGAUCGUAAAACUCUGUUAUUAGGGAAGAACAUAUGUGUAAGUAACUGUGCACAUCUUGACGGUACCUAAUCAGAAAGCCACGGCUAACUACGUG
rnacentral:rRNA from 1 species